AACGAACGCUGGCGGCAUGCCUAACACAUGCAAGUCGAACGAGACCUUCGGGUCUAGUGGCGCACGGGUGCGUAACGCGUGGGAACCUGCCCUUAGGUUCGGAAUAACUCCCCGAAAGGGGUGCUAAUACCGGAUAAUGUCUUCGGACCAAAGAUUUAUCGCCUUUGGAUGGGCCCGCGUUGGAUUAGCUAGUUGGUAGGGUAAAAGCCUACCAAGGCGACGAUCCAUAGCUGGUCUGAGAGGAUGAUCAGCCACACUGGGACUGAGACACGGCCCAGACUCCUACGGGAGGCAGCAGUGGGGAAUAUUGGACGAUGGGCGAAAGCCUGAUCCAGCAAUGCCGCGGGAGUGAUGAAGGGCUUAGGGUUGUAAAGCUCUUUUACCCGGGAUGAUAAUGACAGUACCGGGAGAAUAAGCUCCGGCUAACUCCGUG
rnacentral:rRNA from 1 species